UACAGAGGGGGCAAGCGUUGUUCAGAAUUACUGGGCGUAAAGGGCGCGUAGGCGGCCUUCUAAGUCGAACGUGAAAUCCCUGGGCUCAACCCAGGAACUGCGUCCGAUACUGGAAGGCUUGAAUCCGGGAGAGGGAUGCGGAAUUCCAGGUGUAGCGGUGAAAUGCGUAGAUAUCUGGAGGAACACCGGUGGCGAGGGCGGCAUCCUGGACCGGCAUUGACGCUGAGGCGCGAAAGCCAGGGGAGCAAACGGG
rnacentral:rRNA from 1 species